rnacentral:rRNA from 2 species
UAGCGUGAGGGUGCUAAGGUAGCGAAAUUCCUUGCCUUUUAAUUGUAGGCCUGCAUGAAUGGCUUGACGAGGGUUUGACUGUCUCUGGUCUCAGAAUUAAAAUUGGAUUGAAGGUGAAGAUACCUUUAUAUUAAAGUUAGACAAGAAGACCCCGUGCAACUUUUAAAGCUGGUUUAUUAAGAAACUUAAGAUUUUUAGGUGGGGCGCCUACUAAGUAAUUGUAACCUUUGUAAAUUGCCAAAACUUUCAAGUAUAGACCCGGCAAAUGCCGAUCAUAGGAGAAGUUACGCCGGGGAUAACA